GACGAACGCUGGCGGCGUGCCUAAUACAUGCAAGUAGAACGCUGAAGGAGGAGCUUGCUUCUCUGGAUGAGUUGCGAACGGGUGAGUAACGCGUAGGUAACCUGCCUGGUAGCGGGGGAUAACUAUUGGAAACGAUAGCUAAUACCGCAUAAUAGCAGUUGUUGCAUGACAACUGUUUGAAAGGUGCAAUUGCACCACUACCAGAUGGACCUGCGUUGUAUUAGCUAGUUGGUGGGGUAACGGCUCACCAAGGCGACGAUACAUAGCCGACCUGAGAGGGUUAUCGGCCACACUGGGACUGAGACACGGCCCAGACUCCUACGGGAGGCAGCAGUAGGGAAUCUUCGGCAAUGGACGGAAGUCUGACCGAGCAACGCCGCGUGAGUGAAGAAGGUUUUCGGAUCGUAAAGCUCUGUUGUAAGAGAAGAACGAGUGUGAGAGUGGAAAGUUCACACUGUGACGGUAUCUUACCAGAAAGGGACGGCUAACUACGUG
rnacentral:rRNA from 1 species